rnacentral:misc_RNA from 1 species
GGUAUUGCAAACCUCUAUUUAAUAAUAGUCAUUAGUCAAUUACUGUCCUUGGAAACUUCUAUCCGUGGGUCUGGUCUGAAUUGUAUUUGGCAGCAUGGAUGAAUCGCGACUGCAUCAUCAUCAUCAUCGUCAUCAUGCUUGACAAAACAACAUCUCCCAUCUCCAUUUGCAUGCCAAUUUAGAAUUUGGAAAUUUCUUUAUAUGCAGUAGCUUCCUUGAAAUUGGCUUAUCUCCCUUCACUCUAGCUUAAACCCUCUUUCUUUAAGCAUUCUGAUUCAUCUCUCUUGAUUCUCGGAUCUUCGUAUUACUUUUGAACUGAUUCUCUCCCUCUCUCUACCUCCGUUACCUAUUUGGUUGCGGGAUUAACCAGAAUCGAAACAACAUGAGCAUACCAUCAAGGGACUAAUCGUUGAAAACCGGACCAAAAAUGACCAUGGACCGAACUUCGCCACCAGAAACCCCUUCCAGAGACCCCAAACCUCUCAUAGUCCUUUCUAUCGAGUGCCUCAAAGGUAGCUCCAAAGCCGACGAAUGGACCGGUGACAUGCUCCAGACCGGCGAUAUAGUUGAAGAAAUCAGGAUAGGGUCAGGUUCGUCUUCAGGAACCAGGUCGUCUCAAUCGUUUAAGGCUCCGUUCAAGAACGGAAAGAGCGGGAUCCAAAAGAUUCUUCACGCCUCAUUUAAGAAUAAAGAGACUUCUAUUCUCGUUCGAGUUAGGCGAGGCCGGGACGAGUUCGCCGAGUUGCAGGCGUGCAUCGUGCCUGAGUCGGGGUCUAAAAAGCAGUACAUUUUAAGGUCUAUUACGGAUCCGAAUUAUGCAGUCGGGUUCUCAGAUCGAUCCGAGGCGGACUGCUUCGAAUUGCAAGAUUCAAGAAGCUCAAGAAUUGCUAGUGCACUAUCCAGGGCUACACUUCAAGAUGGAUAUGUCUCGUAUCCAUGGAUGAGGAGGAUGCAGGAGGUGCUACCUAUUCCCAAUUCAAGCUGCUUUCUUUCUAUACUUUUCCUUCCUAAAGUUUCAGAUCGAGUUGCUUCCCGGUACAAUGACCUGGAUGACACUCUUGCAAGGGCAAAUACGUGGCUGUAUGCAUCUCAGGCCUCUGGGGUCCCUACUGUUUUCAUGAAUAUUCAGACAGAGUCCCUGCUUACAA